UACGUAGGGUGCAAGCGUUAAUCGGAAUUACUGGGCGUAAAGCGUGCGCAGGCGGUUUUGUAAGUCUGUCGUGAAAUCCCCGGGCUCAACCUGGGAAUUGCGAUGGAGACUGCAAGGCUAGAAUCUGGCAGAGGGGGGUAGAAUUCCACGUGUAGCAGUGAAAUGCGUAGAGAUGUGGAGGAACACCGAUGGCGAAGGCAGCCCCCUGGGUUAACACUGACGCUCAGGCACGAAAGCGUGGGGAGCAAACAGGG
rnacentral:rRNA from 1 species